rnacentral:tRNA from 1 species
GGAAAUAUGCCUGAAAGCAAAGGGCCUCCUUGAUAAGGGGGCACACAGGGGUUCAAACCCCCUUAUUUCCU